GUGGGGAAUAUUGGGCAAUGGGCGCAAGCCUGACCCAGCAACGCCGCGUGAAGGAAGAAGGCUUUCGGGUUGUAAACUUCUUUUACCAGGGACGAAACAAAUGACGGUACCUGGUGAAUAAGCCACGGCUAACUACGUGCCAGCAGCCGCGGUAAUACGUAGGUGGCGAGCGUUAUCCGGAUUUAUUGGGUGUAAAGGGCGUGUAGGCGGGACAGCAAGUCAGAUGUGAAAACCAGAGGCUCAACCUCUGGCCUGCAUUUGAAACUGUUGUUCUUGAGUGUCGGAGAGGUAAUCGGAAUUCCGUGUGUAGCGGUGAAAUGCGUAGAUAUACAGAGGAACACCAGUGGCGAAGGCGGAUUACUGGACGAUAACUGACGCUGAGGCGCGAAAGCGUGGGGAGCAAACAGGAUUAGAUACCCCGGUAGUCC
rnacentral:rRNA from 1 species